UACGUAGGGUGCAAGCGUUUGUCCGGAAUUAUUGGGCGUAAAGAGCUCGUAGGCGGUCUGUCACGUCGGGCGUGAAAAUCCAGGGCUCAACCCUGGACCUGCGUUCGAUACGGGCAGACUAGAGUUCGGUAGGGAGACUGGAAUUCCUGGUGUAGCAGUGAAAUGCGUAGAUAUCAGGAGGAACACCGGUGGCGAAGGCGCCACUCUGGGCCGAAACUGACGCUGAGGAGCGAAAGCGUGGGUAGCAAACAGG
rnacentral:rRNA from 1 species